UCCGGUUUGACACCGGCAGUCCCGCUAGAGUCCCCAGCAUAACCUGAUGGUAACUAACGGUAGGGGUUGCGCUCGUUAGAGGACUUAACCCGACGCUUCACAGCACGAGCUGACGACAGCCAUGCAGCACCUGUGCAUGUUCCGAUCUUGCGAUUGUGGCUCCCGUUUCCGGGAGUUAAUCCAUGCAUGUCAAACCCAGGUAAGGUUCUUCGCGUUGCUUCGAAUUGAGCCACAUGCUCCACCGCUUGUGUGAGCCCCCGUCAAUUUCUUUGAGUUUUAGCCUUGCGACCGUACUCCCCAGGCGGCGCGCUUAGCAAUUUCUCUGCGAUCCCGACGACGUCAGAGCCGCCGUGAUCCAGCGCGCAUCGUUUAGGGCGUGGACUAC
rnacentral:misc_RNA from 1 species